rnacentral:tRNA from 1 species
GACGAGUUGGAGAAAUGGUCAACUCACAAGCCUUUCACGCUUGCAUUUAUGGGUUCGAAUCCCAUACUCGCCACCA